rnacentral:rRNA from 1 species
GACGAACGCUGGCGGCGUGCUUAACACAUGCGAGUCGAACGGUGAAGCGCCUUCCUUUUUGGUGGGUGUGGAUGAGUGGCGAACGGGUGAGUAACACGUGAGUAACCUGCCCCCUUCUUCUGGAUAACCGCAUGAAAGUGUGGCUAAUACGGGAUAUUCUGGGUCUGUCGCAUGAUGGGUCUGGGAAAGAUAUUGUUUCGGUGGGGGAUGGGCUCGCGGCCUAUCAGCUUGUUGGUGGGGUGAUGGCCUACCAAGGCGGUGACGGGUAGCCGGCCUGAGAGGGUGGACGGUCACACUGGGACUGAGACACGGCCAAGACUCCUACGGGAGGCAGCAGUGGGGAAUAUUGCACAAUGGGCGCAAGCCUGAUGCAGCGACGCCGCGUGAGGGAUGGAGGCCUUCGGGUUGUGAACCUCUUUCGCCAGUGAAGCAGGCCUGCCUCGUUUGUGGGUGGGUUGACGAUAGCUGGAUAAGAAGCGCCGGCUAACUACGUG